AACUCAGGAGAGUCUCUUCCCAAACCAACUAUAAUCAUAAUCUAAAAGGGAAAGAGCGCCGAAGGUGUACGCAGCGAUGGAGCCUGUUUUGAUUCCAUUCCUGUUAAUCUCUCAGGCAAAAGGAUGGAGGAAUG
rnacentral:ncRNA from 1 species